ensembl:misc_RNA Metazoa_SRP Metazoan signal recognition particle RNA
GCUGGGCGUGGUGGCGGGCGCCUGUAAUCCCAGCUACUCUGGAGGCUGAGGCAGGAGAAUCCCUUGAACCCAGGAUGCUGAGGUUGCAGUGAGCUGAGAACGAGCCACUGCACUCCAGCCUGGGUGACAGAGCAAGACUCCAUCUCAA